UACGGAGGGGGCUAGCGUUGUUCGGAAUUACUGGGCGUAAAGCGUACGUAGGCGGCUUUGUAAGUUAGAGGUGAAAGCCCGGGGCUCAACCCCGGAAUUGCCUUUAAGACUGCAUCGCUUGAACGUCGGAGAGGUGAGUGGAAUUCCGAGUGUAGAGGUGAAAUUCGUAGAUAUUCGGAAGAACACCAGUGGCGAAGGCAGCAGAUUGGGUCGGUACUGACGCUCAGGCACGAAAGCAUGGGGAUCAAACAGG
rnacentral:rRNA from 1 species